rnacentral:rRNA from 1 species
GCAAGUCGAACGGUAACAUAGCUAGCUUGCUAGCUGAUGACGAGUGGCGGACGGGUGAGUAACGCGUAGAUAUCUGCCUAGUAGUGGGGGAUAGCCCGGAGAAAUCCGGAUUAAUACCGCAUACGCCCUACGGGGGAAAGAAGGCCUCUUCUUGAAAGCUUUCACUAUUAGAUGAGUCUGCGUCGGAUUAGCUAGUUGGUGAGGUAAAGGCUCACCAAGGCGAAGAUCUGUAGCUGGUCUGAGAGGGUGAUC